rnacentral:rRNA from 1 species
AUUGAACGCUGGCGGAAUGCUUUACACAUGCAAGUCGAACGGCAGCACGGGGGCAGCCCUGGUGGCGAGUGGCGAACGGGUGAGUAAUACAUCGGAACGUGCCCGGUCGUGGGGGAUAACGUAGCGAAAGUUACGCUAAUACCGCAUACGAUCUGAGGAUGAAAGCGGGGGACCUUCGGGCCUCGCGCGAUCGGAGCGGCCGAUGUCAGAUUAGGUAGUUGGUGGGGUAAAGGCCUACCAAGCCGACGAUCUGUAGCUGGUCUGAGAGGACGACCAGCCACACUGGGACUGAGACACGGCCCAGACGCCUACGGGAGGCAGCAGUGGGGAACUUUGGACAAUGGGCGCAAGCCUGAUCCAGCCAUUCCGCGUGCAGGACGAAGGCCUUCGGGUUGUAAACUGCUUUUGUACGGAACGAAAAGGCUCUGGCUAAUACCUGGGGCUCAUGACGGUACCGUAAGAAUAAGCACCGGCUAACUACGU